rnacentral:rRNA from 1 species
AGUGAACGCUGGCGGUAGGCCUAACACAUGCAAGUCGAACGGCAGCACAGUAAGAGCUUGCUCUUACGGGUGGCGAGUGGCGGACGGGUGAGGAAUACAUCGGAAUCUACUUUUUCGUGGGGGAUAACGUAGGGAAACUUACGCUAAUACCGCAUACGACCUACGGGUGAAAGCAGGGGAUCUUCGGACCUUGCGCGAUUGAAUGAGCCGAUGUCGGAUUAGCUAGUUGGCGGGGUAAAGGCCCACCAAGGCGACGAUCCGUAGCUGGUCUGAGAGGAUGAUCAGCCAACCUGGAACUGGGACACGGUCCAGACUCCUACGGGAGGCAGCAGUGGGGAAUAUUGGACAAUGGGCGCAAGCCUGAUCCAGCCAUACCGCGUGGGUGAAGAAGGCCUUCGGGUUGUAAAGCCCUUUUGUUGGGAAAGAAAAGCAGCAGGUUAAUACCCCGCUGUUCUGACGGUACCAAAAGAAUAAGCACCGGCUAACUUCGU